rnacentral:rRNA from 1 species
AAAUUGAAGAGUUUGAUCAUGGCUCAGAUUGAACGCUGGCGGCAGGCCUAACACAUGCAAGUCGAGCGGUAGCACAGAGAGCUUGCUCUCGGGUGACGAGCGGCGGACGGGUGAGUAAUGUCUGGGAAACUGCCUGAUGGAGGGGGGUAACUACUGGAAACGGUAGCUAAUACCGCAUAACGUCGCAAGACCAAAGUGGGGGACCUUCGGGCCUCAUGCCAUCAGAUGUGCCCAGAUGGGAUUAGCUAGUAGGUGGGGUAACGGCUCACCUAGGCGACGAUCCCUAGCUGGUCUGAGAGGAUGACCAGCCACACUGGAACUGAGACACGGUCCAGACUCCUACGGGAGGCAGCAGUGGGGAAUAUUGCACAAUGGGCGCAAGCCUGAUGCAGCCAUGCCGCGUGUGUGAAGAAGGCCUUCGGGUUGUAAAGCACUUUCAGCGGGGAGGAAGGCGC